UUGGAGGGCAAGUCUGGUGCCAGCAGCCGCGGUAAUUCCAGCUCCAAUAGCGUAUAUUAAAGUUGUUGCAGUUAAAAAGCUCGUAGUUGAAUCUCGGGAUCAAAUUGUCGGUCGUGCCUCGGUACGCACUGGUAUUAUUGGUUCCUACCUUCUGAAGAACCGCGAUGUCAUUAAUUUGGUGUCGUGGGGAAUCAGGACUGUUACUUUGAAAAAAUUAGAGUGUUUAAAGCAGGCUUACGCUUGAAUACAUUAGCAUGGAAUAAUGAAAUAGGACGUUUGAUUCUAUUUUGUUGGUUUCUAGGAUUGACGUAAUGAUUAAUAGGGAUAGUUGGGGGCAUUAGUAUUCAACUGUCAGAGGUGAAAUUCUUGGAUUUAUUGAAGACUAACUACUGCGAAAGCAUUUGCCAAGGAUGUUUUCAUUAAUCAAGAACGAAAGUUAGGGGAUCGAAGACGAUCAGAUACCGUCGUAGUCUUAACCAUAAACUAUGCCGACUAGGGAUCGGAUGAUGUUAAUUUUUUAAUGACUCAUUCGGCGCCUUACGGGAAACCAAAGUGUUUGGGUUC
rnacentral:rRNA from 1 species